CUGGUUGAUCCUGCCAGUAGAGAUAUGCUUGUUUCAAAGAUUAAGCCAUGCAUGUCUAAGUAUAAGCGAACUUAUACAGUGAAACUGCGGAUGGCUCAUUAAAACAGUUUGAAUUUAUUUGAUGAAUGUAUGAGAAUACUACUUGGAUAACCGUAGUAAUUCUAGAGCUAAUACAUGCAACGACGCCCGACCGUUUCACUACGGAAGGGCUGUAUUUAUUGGAUACCAAAACCAUCCUUCCCUCGGGAAGUUUUGUUUGAUGAUUCACAAUAACUGAUCGGAUCGCCACUGUGGUGGCGACAGGUCAUUCAACAUUCUGCCCUAUCAGCUUUCGAUGGUUGUGUAGUGGACAACCAUGGCCAUAACGGGUAACGGAGAAUCAGGGUUCGAUUCCGGAGAAGGAGCUUGAGAAUUGGCUACUACAUCUAAGGAAGGCAGCAGGCGCGCAAAUUACCCAAUCCCGAUUCGGGGAGGUAGUGACAAAAAAUAACAAUACCGGGCCUUUUUGGGCUUGGUAAUUGGAAUGAGGGAGAGUUAAACGGACCAUCGAGUAUCCAUUGGAGGGCAAGUCUGGUGCCAGCAGCUGCGGUAAUACCAGCUCCAAUAGCGUAUAUUAAAGUUGUUGCAGUUAAAAAGCUCGUAGUUGGACUUGUGUGCGCUGUCCGCGGGUGGCCUGCGCCCAAAAGGGCGUUUCGGUUCGGCCCCGGUGGCGCCUUGAAAUCUGCAGCUGGGGGGACGUUGGCCUUAACUGGUCGGCGACCGCACGCCGGCUGCUCGGUUACUGUGAGAAAAUUAGAGUGUUCAAGGCAGGCAUUGGGUGCAAUUGAAUACAUUAGCAUGGAAUAAUAAAAUAUGGCUCCUGCCGUAUUUUGUUGGUUCUGACUGGUGGGAGUAAUGAUUGAUAGGGACGGUUGGGGGUGCUAGUAUUGAGCGGCCAGAGGUGAAAUUCAUGGAUUCGCUCAAGACUAACUUAUGCGAAAGCAUUCACCAAGGACGUCCUCUUUAAUCAAGAACGAAAGUUGGGGGAUCGAAGACGAUCAGAUACCGUCGUAGUCUCAACCAUAAACUAUGUCGACUUGGGAUCGGCGGUAGUUUUUUCAUUAAGACACUGUCGGGACCACGGGAGAAAUCAAAGUGUCUGGACUCUGGGGGAAGUAUGGUCGCAAGGCUGAAACUUGAAGGAAUUGACGGAAGGGCACCACCAGGAGUGGAGCCUGCGGC
rnacentral:rRNA from 1 species